UGGGGAAUAUUGGACAAUGGGGGGAACCCUGAUCCAGCAAUGCCGCGUGUGUGAAGAAGGCCUGAGGGUUGUAAAGCACUUUCAGUGGGGAGGAGGGAUGACUGGUUAAGAGCUAGUUAUUUGGACGUUACCCACAGAAGAAGCACCGGCUAACUCUGUGCCAGCAGCCGCGGUAAUACAGAGGGUGCAAGCGUUAAUCGGAAUUACUGGGCGUAAAGCGCGCGUAGGCGGGUGAUCAAGUCAAUGGUG
rnacentral:rRNA from 1 species